CACGUAGGGGGCGAGCGUUGUCCGGAUUUAUUGGGCGGAAAGGGCGCGUAGGCGGCCCGCUAAGUCGAACGUGAAAUCCCCGGGCUCAACCCGGGAACUGCGUCCGAUACUGGCAGGCUUGAAUCCGGGAGAGGGAUGCGGAAUUCCAGGUGUAGCGGUGAAAUGCGUAGAUAUCUGGAGGAACACCGGUGGCGAAGGCGGCAUCCUGGACCGGCAUUGACGCUGAGGCGCGAAAGCCAGGGGAGCAAACGGG
rnacentral:rRNA from 1 species